rnacentral:rRNA from 1 species
GCUAAUACCGGAUAACAACAGAUGAUGCCUAUCAACUGUUUAAAAGAAUGGUUCUGCUAUCACUCUUGGAUGGACCUGCGGUGCAUUAGCUAGUUGGUAGGGUAACGGCCUACCAAGGCGAUGAUGCAUAGCCGAGUUGAGAGACUGAUCGGCCACAUUGGGACUGAGACACGGCCCAAACUCCUACGGGAGGCAGCAGCG